rnacentral:rRNA from 1 species
CCUACGGGCGGCAGCAGUGAGGAAUAUUGGUCAAUGGGAGGAAUCCUGAACCAGCCAUGCCGCGUGCAGGACGACGGCUCUACGAGUUGUAAACUGCUUUUGUACCGGGGUAAAAUGCUCUACGAGUAGGGUUUUGAAAGUACGGUACGAAUAAGGAUCGGCUAACUCCGUGCCAGCAGCCGCGGUAAUACGGAGGAUCCGAGCGUUAUCCGGAUUUAUUGGGUUUAAAGGGUGCGUAGGUUGUUUUAUAAGUUAGCGGUGAAAUACCGAUGCUCAACCUUGGGGCUGCCGCUAAUACUGUAGGACUAGAGAUCGGAUGCAGCAGGCGGAAUGUGUAGUGUAGCGGUGAAAUGCAUAGAUAUUACACAGAACACCGAUUGCGAAGGCAGCUUGCUAGGCCGGAUCUGACAUUGAUGCACGAAAGCGUGGGUAUCGAACAGGAUUAGAUACCCUAGUAGUC